rnacentral:rRNA from 1 species
UACGUAGGGUCCGAGCGUUGUCCGGAAUUAUUGGGCGUAAAGGGCUCGUAGGCGGUCUGUUGCGUCGGGAGUGAAAACUUACAGCUUAACUGUGAGCGUGCUUCCGAUACGGGCAGACUUGAGGUAUUCAGGGGAGAACGGAAUUCCUGGUGUAGCGGUGGAAUGCGCAGUUAUCAGGAAGAACACCGGUGGCGAAGGCGGCUCUCUGGGCCUUACCUGACGCUGAGGAGCGAAAGCGUGGGUAGCGAACAGG